CUAAAUACACCAUAGAACAUCACUAAUUACAUUAAAGAACAUCGUAUAUAUAUUACGUGAAAAUAAAUAAGAAUUUGGUACUAUAAUAUACAUGAAAAUAAUUAAUUAUAUAUGAAUUUGAGCAGAGACAAUAUUCUAGAUUUAUAAGAAAUUGGUGACACAUGACUACUAGCACUACUGUGUAUACCUGACAAGGAAACAAUAUAUAAAACUAGGGUUUACAACUUAGGUUUCAACUAAGGGUUUGGGGUUUAUGGCUUAGCCACUAAUUGUACCACUAAUUAUAGCACUAAUAAUUGUACCACUAAUAAAUCCAUCUCGACAUACCUGUAGUUUGAAGGCGGUGAGACGGCGGAGAGACGGCAGUCGGUGCGGAGACUCGACGGGGACUUCGGUGACGACGGCAGAGAGACGUCGAUCUGAAAGAAGGAAGAAAUAGGGAACAAAUAUUAUAUCACAUUUACAUAUUGUGGCACUUGCAUGAAGCACUAAAUAUAGAAACAAACGAAAAUGCUACAGUACCAAAAUGCUAUAGUGUGAAAUACAAAAUUUUUUGGAACUAAACAAGGCCUAAUUAUUUUUUUGGAACUAAACUUAUUGGAAUAGUAGCAUUUUCGUUUGUAUUUGACAAAUAUUAUAUUGUCCAAUUAUGGACUAACUAGGCUCAAAAGAUCCAUCUCGUCACCGAUGCAUUAUUUUUUUUGAACGAAACAAGGCCUAAUUAUGGACUAACUGUGCAAUUAGUUUUUAUCUAUAACUCUUAUAAAGCUAAACCCCACUAGAUGAAUUCUCUCUUCAUGCAAGGUGUCCACAUCAUUUCCCACUAAGUAACCCACUAAAUAUUUUAUCUCUACAUAUAAGGUGUCCACAUCAUUACUCACUAAGUCCAUGUCAUCCUAUAUUAAUUACAAAAAAUGACCAUGACAUCUAUAUCAUGUGAAAUACUUUAAAUCUUUAAUCUAUUAACAUACAAGUUAUGUACAUACAAUAUUUGUUUCAUCACCAAUUAAUUCCUCUAUAAUGUAACCAAACAUUAGUUUUUGUUCUAUUAGCUUAGAAAUUUUUUACUAGAUCUAAUACAAUAAAAUAUAUGCAAGUCAAAUUCAUAUGUAUACAUACAUAAUAGACUCAAUAUUAUAUAGUAAUGAUAUAUAUAAUGAUUUAUUUUUAAGAAAUUCCCGCGGCAACGCGCGGGGAAUUCACCUAGUUUUUAUCUAUAUUUAAUACUCCAUGCAUACGUCUUAAGAUUCGAUGUGACGGGGAAUUAAAAAAUUUUACAAAAUUUUUGAGAAACUAAGGCCUUGUUUAGUUCACCCCAAAAUCCAAAAAAUUUUCAAGAUUCUUCGUCACAUCGAAUCUUACGACACAUGUAUGAAACAUUAAAUAUAUACGAAAAUAAAAACUAAUUACACGGUUUGUUUGUAAAUUGCGAGACAAAACUUUUGAUCCUAGUUAGUUUAUGAUUAGAUAAUACUUUUCAAAUAAAAACGAAAGUGCUACAGUAUUGAAAUCCGAAAUUUUUUCACAACUAAACAAGGCCCUAAACAAGGUCGGCUCGGCCGCCGGUGAGGGUCGAGCUCGGCCGCCGGUGAGGGCGCACGUGGCCGCGCGGCCGACGGCGUCCUGCCCGCGCCACUGAGGGCGCAGAGGGCGCGUGCGAGAGAGAAAAAGAGAGAGUGGCGGCGGGGGCGCGGCGUACGAUGGAGGGGGCGCUCGGAGCGGCGGCGGCAACGACAGCGUCGUGGACGAAGAGAAGAACGGCGGCGGUUAGGGCUCGGGCGCGGUGGGGAAGGAGAAGAAAGGGCUCUGCCCUUUAUAGGGCAGAGCACCUUUAGUCCCGAGCGGUGGCACGGCCCGGGACUAAAGGUUUUUCACCAAAUUAUGGCGCCAGUUCAGGCGCCAUAAUUUGGUUUUCCCUUUUUUAUUUUCCCUUUACAUUGUUAAAUGCAUUAUAAAUUAAAUAAAUCUGAUAAAAUUUUUAAAAAAUACACAUUAAUUUUAUUCUGCUCUACUCUUGAGUAUAAAAAUUCUUAACACAAUUGCUUUUUAAAUAUUUCAUAUUACUCAAAAUAAAUAUUAUUCAUAAUGAAUAUUUUGUUAAUGCAAAAAUAUAAUGACCAAUUAAAUUUUAAAAAAUUGUUGGCUUUAGACAGAUACUUUGUUUUUGGGUCAUUUGGACGUUAAACUUUUGUUUCUUUAGUAAUAAUUAUACAAAUGCGCGACAUUGAUUGUAUAAAUUUGAAAUUUAAAUUUUCAAAAGUUGUAAGAUGUAUUUGGGAACCCUGCAUGGCCUCAAAUGGAAAACUCAUGAAUACAAAGUUUGUUCUGCUCAUCAAGACCUACAUUUUCUCUAGUGGUCACAUUUUCAUUUGAAAAAGUUUAGACCACUCAAUUUUGAAAUUUGAAUGAAUUCAUAGCGAAACGCUAAUUUUCAGAACCAUGGAUGGCCUCAAAUGGAAAACUCAUGAAUACCAAUAUUGCUCCACUCAUCAAGAUCUACAUUUCAUAUAUAGACCAUUUUUGCAUUUGACAAAGUGUUGGCAAAGUGUAGUUCAAAAUCCACACUUCCCACGUAUAGUUUCAUAAAGUUUGUGUGAGAUUCAAGAUUUGGUGAGUAUUGUCUACAUAAACUUUCCCAAAUGGAAAAAUGGUCUAUAUAAAAAGUUUGGAUAUUGAUGAGCUCUAACAACUUGGUAUUCAAAAGAUUUCCAUUCCAAGUCAUUUUCUCCGUCGUUUGACCAAGUUUGACCAAAGCCCGUCUUCGAAUUUGAAAACACGUGCCUCGGACUCGAUCAAAUUUAUCCGGAUGAAAAUAUGAUCCAUAUAUGAAAUAUAGGUCUUGAUGAGACCUAACAACUUGGCAUUCAAAAGUUUUCCAUUUGAAGUACUCAGGUGGGUCAUUUGACCAAGUUUGACCAAAGUCAAAAUAGUGGGUUUCACAAACACACACUUUGACCGAGCCCUGGAUGGCCUCAAAUAGAAAACUCAUGAAUACAAAGUUUGUUCCACUCAUCAAGACCUACAUUUUCACUAGUGGUCACAUUUUCAUUUGAAAAAGUUUAGACCACUCAAUUUUGAAAUUUGAAUGAAUUCAUAGCGAAACGCUAAUUUUCAGAAAAUGUAGGUCUACAUUUCAAGAUCCACUCAUCAAGAUUGCUCCACUCAUCAAGAUCUACAUUUCAUAUAUACAUUUCAUGAAUACCAAUAUUGACCAAGUUUGACCAAACUCAUGAAUACCAAUAGUUCAAAAUCCACAUCAAGAUGUUACAAUUAUAUUACCCAUAAUGUUACAAUUAUAUUACACAAGAUUUCAAGUACAAAUCACUACCAUUAUCAAGCUAGCACAGUGGUAAACUUUUUCUUAACAUAAUGCCCUUGGUUAUGAUCAUUCCGUAACCAUGGAGUGUCCUCUGCAGCGAGCAUGAUGCUUGGGUCUUUGGCCACAUAGAAGGGUGGGAUCUGUUCAUCCUUUUCAUAAUCCUCUGACACGUCUGACUUGUCUUCAAUUCCCACGAUAUUUCUUUUCCCUGUAAGAACGAUGUGUCGCUUUGGCUCGUUGGUGUUUUUCUCGUCUUGUUUCCCUCUCUUAGGUUUUGUAGACAUGUAUUUCACAUAGAACACUUGAUUCACCUUAGUACCGAGGACGAAUGGAUCGUCUGUAUAUCCAAUAUUGUUGAGGUCCACUGUUGUCAUUCCGUACUCCUUAUCGACUGAUACCCCUCCUUUCAUCUUCACCCAUUGGCAUCGGAAUAAAGGGACUUUAAAAUUAUGUGCAUAGUCUAGUUUCCAAAUCUCCUCUAUACGACCAUAAUAUGUGUGCCUGUCCCCAUUCGUGUCCGUGGCAUCCACACGGACGACACUGUUUUGGUUGGUACUCUUUUUAUCUUGUGAUACGGUGUAAAAUGUAUUUCCAUUUAUCUCGUACCCUUUGUAUGUGAGGACGUGCCACGCUGGUUGCCUAGCCAACAAAUAAAGUUCAUCUCCAAUAUCUUUAUCACCCUGGCAUUUUUUUCGCAACCAGUCACCGAAUGUUUCCAUGUGAUGAUGCGUAACCCAAGUCUCAUUCUUUCCAGGAUUCUCGGAUCGUACAAAAUCCAUGUGUUCCUCAAUAUAGGGUUCCACCACAAUGGAGUUUCGAAGGACUGUGUAGUGCGCUUUAUUGAAUAAAUCAUCACCCUGGCUGAUAUAUGUUUUCUUUCCUAGUGUACCCUUUCCACCGAGUCUCCCCUCAUACCUUGAUUCAGGAAGACCAAUCGGGUCAAGAUCAGGAAUAAAGUCCACACAGAACUCAAUGACCUCCUCUGUCCCGUAUCCCUUGAUGAUGCUUCCUUCUGGCCGACCCCGCUGGUGAACAUAUUUUUUCAGUACACCCAUAAAUCUCUCUAAAGGAAACAUGUUGUGUAGGAAGACAGGACCCAGAAUAUGAAUCUCUUUGACCAGAUGAACUAGGAGAUGUGUCAUGAUAUCAAAGAAAGAUGGAGGAAACACCAACUCAAAGCUGACAAGACAUUGAACCACAUCGUUCUGUAGAGUAGCUAGAUCAAGAGGAUUGAUUGCCUUCUGAGAAAUUGCAUUGAGGAAUGCACACAACUUCACGGUGGCCAGACGUACAUGUGGAGGUAGAAUUCCUCUUAAGGCAACCGGAAGCAGUUGUGUCAUAAUCACGUUGCAGUCGUGCGAUUUUAAGUUGACAAAUUUUUUCUCUGGCACAUUUAUUAUACGCUUUAUGUUGGAGGAGAACCCAGAUGGGACCUUGAUGCUGCUUAGGCACUCAAACAUGAUUUCCUUCUCCUCAUUGCUAAGAGUGUAGCUAGCAGGUCUUAAAUACUAGCGUCCAUCAUCUGUCUGCUCUGGAUGCAGGUUGUCUCAUUCUUUCAUGCGCUUUAAGUCCUCUCGAGCCUCAAGGGUAUCCUUAGGCUUUCCAAACACACCCAUAAACCCUAGGAGAUUGACACAAAGAUUCUUGGUCAGGUGCAUCACGUCGAUGCAGUGGCGGACCUCAAGGUGUUUCCAAUAUGGUAGCUCCCAAAAUAUUGACUUUUUCUUCCACAUUGGGGCACGCCCCGAAGCGUCUUUCGGAACAGGUUCGCUGCCUUCUCCCUUUCCAAACACUACUUUCAAAUCUUUGACCAUCUCGAAUACCUCUGCCCCGUCUCGGUUGCCUGGCUUGGACCGGUGUUCUGUCGUACCUUUAAAAUGUUUGCCUUUCUUUCUCAACUGGUGGUUCUUAGCAAGAAAUCAACGAUGGCCAAGGUACACGACCUUUCGGCAUUUUUUCAAAUAGAUAGCUUGAAGGUCACCAAAGCAAUGGGUGCAAGCAUUAUAUCCCUUGUUUGUCUGUCCUGAAAGAUUGCUUAGAGCUAGCCAAUCAUUGAUUGUCACAAACAACAAUGCUCGUAGGUCGAAUGCUUCCUGUUUGUACUCAUCCCACAUACGCAAACCUGGUUUGCUCCAUAGAAGCUGGAGUUCCUCAACCAAUGGCCUCAGGUAAACAUCGAUGUCGUUGCCAGGUUGCUUCGGACCUUGGAUGAGCACCGGCAUCAUAAUGAACUUCUGCUUCAUGCAUAACCACGGAGGAAGGUUGUAGAUACAUAGAGUAACGGGCCAAGUGCUAUGACUAGAGCUCUGGUCCCCAAAAGGAUUAAAUCCAUCCGUACUCAAUGCGAACCUUAGGUUUCUUGCGUCCUCUGCAAAUUCCGGGAAUUCUCUAUCAAUUUCUCUCCACUGAGAACCAUCUGCAGGGUGUCUCAACAUGUUGUCCACCUUACGGUCUUCUUUGUGCCAUCGCAACAACUUUGCAUGCUCCUUAUUUCUGAACAAACGUUUUAGGCGUCAAAUUAUUGGAGCAUACCACAUAACCUUGGCAGGGAUUCUCUUUCUCGGACGUUCUUCAUCCUCAACAUCGCCAGGGUCAUCUCGCAAGAUCUUGUACCGUGACGCAUGGCAAACAGGGCAUUCAUCUAAUUUCUCGUACUCGCCACGGUACAGGAUGCAGUCAUUAGGGCAUGCAUGUAUCUUCUCGAUUUGUAAUCCCAAAGGGCAGACAAUCUUUUUUGCUUCGUAUGUAGUGGUGGGUAACUCAUUAGGCUUUGGAAGCAUCUUUUUUUGGAUCUUCAGUAAUUUUCCAAAUGCCUUGUCAGAAAUACCAUUCUCUGCCUUCCACUUUAACAACUCCAGUGUCGUUCCUAGCUUUUUCUGUCCCUCUUUGGCCGACAGGUAGAGUAGCUUCUUGUGAUCCUCUAGCAUUUGGUCAAAUUUAGCCUUCUCCUUUGCACUUUCGCAAUCUCUCUGUACGUCGCGAAUGACAUCACCAAGAGCAUCGUCAUCAUCAACGAUACUGUUUCCUGCAUCCCCGUCUUCAUCACCUUCGUCCUCUACUGUGAAGUUGCAGUAUUGAGCAAAAACAUCGUCAGGGUACGCUUGCUCUUCUUCACCUUCUUCCAUCAUAACCCCAGACUCUCCGUGUUUGGUCCAACAAAUAUAGUUUGGCAUGAAACCAUUCGUGAACAAGUGCAAGUGAAUUUCUCUUGAGUUUGAAAAUUCCUUCAAAUUCUUACAAACGGCACAUGGGCAGCACAUAAAACCAUCCCGCUUAUUUUGCUCCGCCACUCUGCGGAAUUCUCGCACGCCCUCAAUGAACUCGUUGGAGCGGUGAUCAGCAUUGUACAUCCAAUGGCGUGCCAUUAUCUGCAUUAUCAUGGAAUUAUAAUUUUUCUAUUAAAAGCUAUAAUUUUAUCAGUAAAGAAAAUUAAUUUCAAUAAUUUUUAAAGUGAAAAACAAUUUAUUUAACAAUUACAACAAAAAUUAUAUUAUUAAUAUUUUAAAAUAAGAACAUGAACAUAUUAAAGUAGAAAAUAUCCUAUAAUAUCUAUAAUAGAACUUAACAUGAUUCGUGUAUACAUAGUAGUAAUGAUUUGUGUAUACUAGUUUUUAGCGGGCACACACUUAGCAUCGUUCAAAAAAAUUCAAACAUGAGAAGACGAUGAUUGGAGAGAUGGCAACAUGAAAUAAUCAAAAUAGACAUAUGUCCAAUAUGAAAUUACAUAUGGCGGUGAGAAACAUAGGAGGAUGAAGCUAGCAACCUUUCAAACAAAUCGACGACGGCGUAGAAGCGUUGAAAUGGAUCGAUCGUGGAAGAUGAGAGCACUAACAAGCAAGAACAAUGGAAGAACAAGCAAGAACAAAGCACCUCGAGCUCGGGCAGGGAGAGGAAGAAGGGAGGAGGGAGAUUCAAUUUAUAGCGGGGAGGGUUUAGUCCCGGUUGGUGUUACCACCGGGAGUAAAUACCUACCUUUAGCCCUGGUUAGUGCCAACGACCGGGACAAAAGCUUUAGUCCCGGUUAGUGUCACAAACCGGGGCUAAAGGUUUGUAUUUACUCCCGGUUGGUAACACCAACCGGGACUAAAGGUCCCUCUCCGACAGCGCCUGACACCAGAGGUUGGGGAGGGACCGUUAGUCCCGGUUGGCUUUACCAACCGGGACUAAAGAUUUCUUUUGUCCCGGGUGCUAAAAAUACCGGGACUAAAGCUCAUUUGGCACAUCGACGAAAGGUCUGUUCUCUAGUAGUGUACAAUCGGUUCUAGUUUCAGGUCGAGGAUGUCUUGUUAAAUGGUCUCUUUUGUCUCGUGAUCGACGACCCUCAUUUGCACAAACAAAUCUACAUGAUGUAAUUUUGCCAUCAGAUGUAUACCUUUUCCUCACCUCAAAGCCUUUUUGCCCACCAUAGCUAAGCCAAAAUGCCCAAGCCUCAUCUGAAUUUCUAAAUUACAUGCCAACAUAUGGUGCCAAACAAGGCAUCAAGGUCUCACUGUACAAGAAGAAGAAUACUACCAAGUAUGAGACUAAUGCAUAAAUAUACUAACCCAAAAACUCAUUUAAUCUUUUACUAAAAUUUGUGCCAAAGAGAACAUGAGUAGCGAUACUUGGGGACAACUAAAACUUACGAUAAAACAAGAUGGGGUUGUAUUACUUACGCAUUGGAACAUCGGUGUACUGUGUUAGCAUCUUCUUUCAUCUUCAGUAGCAUAGAAGUAAAUUUGAUUGCAGCCGUAAACUUGAGCUUCAGUCAAUCACUUCUUCGCCUUUGUAUCUCUCUCUAUCUCUCCUUUUUUCCCUUUGGAAGUAAAAGGAAGGCUAAAUAAUUGGGGAUAUUUUUCUCGCGCGAAAAUCUGCAGCCUUUGGUGCUAUUUUCCCUCCCACCAUCAGCAACAGGUAUGUUGUGGAUCUGGUUUCUUCAUAACCUGGUCAAAUCAAUAACGUAUAGUUAUCAUCACACGAUGAAAAUUACCUAGAGAAAACAAAGCAAUCAUCAAAGGUAGGGGAAAAAGACAUAGUGCUUCACAAAUCAUGCCGCUGCAAGUUAUUCACUGCGCGAGCAUCCUCAGGCACCAAUAAAAUUAUACUGAUAAACAAAGAAAAAAAAUGCAGCAGUUCAUGAGUUCUUACGAGGAUAUCUGCCCAUUCUUACCUAAAGGGACAGGUUGCCCUAUUCCAAGAUCUAAUCAACAAACCUAGGGUUUUUAAAAUGCCAAGCCACAAACAUAUAAAAGCAGACCAGCACAUUUCAGCCCCAAAUACAAAUAAACGAAUCCUACAAGGCUAACGCCGCCGCCAUCAGUAAUUUAGUCUAGCCUCAUGAAGAAGUUGAACUAAAGAAAACCUAGGAUCGAACAUGUACCUCGUUCACCCAGUUCAUGUUUCAGUCUUCAGCGCAUCCCCUCCAGUGAUUGCGGCUCGAGGCUACCAGUUCGAGCAGCAGGUCCGGGAGGUCCAGCGAGCGGCGGCCACCGGCUCGAGGCGCGUACAGGGGGAGCGGCGGGGGAGGCGCGACGAGCCCGAUGGCGCUCCGUCACUCUGUGUCCACGCAGAAAGGAAGAUGAGGCACGCCCAAACGAAGAAACAAUAAAGGGAGAAUGACAUGUGGGAUCGAUUGAUAACAGGUGAGACCUGUUGAUAACGGUCGUUAGUAAUGUUAAAACCUGUGUCAUCCCUUCAGGUUUUGAUUGACAAUUUGCAAUGAUAUGUGUGUAUUUCAUUACAACUCUUUUAAUAUAAAAAUUCUUAGCAAGUCGCUAUUUUAUUUGGCAAGUCAAAAAAUCUUUCUCCAACAAUAAAUCAUCAUAAGGGUGGUUUUUUUCCUGGAGCUAUUUGCAAAGUGAACAUAAAACUUUCUCGUAAUUAAUCGAACCCAAAUCAAAAAUUUUUUCUCUCUACGCAGUUUUACAAAGUGAACAUGGUAAAAAGUUUCUAUUUGCAUAGAUGCCCUUCUCUCCGUCUACGGCGACAGACGGAGCACAACGGCGGUCUCGCGGCUCUGGCACCGGCGUCAGGCGUCGCGCUCGUGGCCGACGGCGCGCCAGGCGGUGGGCGGUGGCCGAGCAGCGGCGGCGGGGUGAGCUGCGGCCGCGCUCGCGGCGGGAGGCGCGCCGGACGGCGGGUGGCGGGCGAUGGUCGGGUAGCGCGGUGCGAGGACGGGACGGACAAGCGGACUGGUGCAGCUCCGGAUUCAUCAAUUAGUGCAAUAUGUUGUAACCCCGAAUGUCGUGCACAGUAUUAAAUUCAUGCAUCACGUAUUUUAAUGCAGAUAAUACUGAAGAGAAACCUGUCAUGCCACUAGAGUGCAUACUAGCUAGUCUCUAGCAACAUCAAAACGUGAGAUGGUCAAGUUCAAGACAAAUUCUAAAUUCACGAUAAAAAGGCCAACCAUAGCAAUACACAACACAAACAGGAUGCCCAUAACCAUUCUAGACACACACACACAAAAAAAAGGCCACAAAACUCGCCUCAGAAAAGGCACCUGAGAAAAUCACCUUAGGUGAACCUCUACUGCUCUAGAGACUAGAGCCAGCAGCCGCGCACCCACAUCACUAACAGAGACAUCAUUUGGCCGCACAUCUCAGACGCAGCUCGUCACAGACAGCCCGCAGUCCCGCACGAUCGCUCACCUCGACCGCAACCAAAUUCCCAAGCGCACGCAGCAACACCGAGAUCCAAGCCACGGCACCAACAAGACUAAACGGAAACAGGGUCCUGGGUCCCCAAAAAACGCUCGCCCAAUUCUACACACGGAAGCGCCGCCCGCAAUCCCCACUACAAUUCCCCCCUGAAUCGUGUGCUUGAUAUCCAGUGUUCACUUAUAGUCUGGUCAUCUUAUCGUCGAUGGAGAAAAUGGGCCAACUAGGGCCCAAGCAGGGGGCGCCACCACCGCUGCAGCUGGGCUGCCCUAGGAGGGGCGCACACCCAAGAGGGGAGGGGCGCCAUGCCUACCACUGUCGUCGUCUCCGUCUUUGCUAUCUGUGGUUACCAUAUCUAGUCGCAGUUGGUUUUAGAAAGAGUUUAUUCAGAUAGAAAGUUGAGUUUUUGUUAGAUGGAAAAGAGAAUCUACGUUCGAUAAGAAUCUCCUAGUUUGCUUGCAAGUCAAGUCCCCUAGGGACUAUAAAUACUUAGGGAUAUGUAACGAGAUCAAUCAAGUAAUAGACGAGUGAAAGCCCUUUCCCUAUCUCUCUUCUCUCUCUCUCUCUCUCUCUCUCUCUCUCGCUUGCACACCACCCCCUCUCCCUUCCCUAGCCGCCGCCAACCUUGCCUACACCGUCAGUGACCGCCUCGGUCAUGACUAUUACACCUAGUAUCCAGAGACCAUAUUGAUCGCCAUGCUGCUACUAUGGCCAAAUUAGCUGAGAUCCAAAAGCUCAACGCUAAUUUCUCCAAAGACAUUAUUGCCAAGAUCGACACUGUCCACUCACAGAUUACCGACGUCAACAGCCACCUCAACACCUUCGAGAUGAGAUGCUUGGACAAGGACAUGGUUGACGAGCUUGAGCGUGGGAAGCAGCUACUCUCCAUCAAGCUAGAUGACACCAGAGAUGCAAUGGAGAAAGCUAGUUGUGACUUCAUCAAGGUGUAGACCGGAACUCGCCGCCAAGCUAGAGGCUAAGCUCUUCUGCAAGGAGCCCAAACCAGAGAUCCAUCUAGGUAGAGUUGCACCAACCACGUUCUUAGCACUGGAGAUCCAUCCCCACAUGUUGUCCUUCAUGACAUGCAAUGGCAAGGAGGACCCCUGCCACGGAUCAACAGUGAGAGCUAUUCUUUGGUCAAUGGAGCCUAGAGAGAAAAAACAUGGCAUGCUUCUUACCAUCUAACUAGUGCCGCACAAUAGUGGUACAUGAGACUCUUACAGGAUGAUGAUGUGACAAACUAGGCAUAGUUUGCUCAGUGCGUCAAUGAGCGCUUUGGACCUCCCAUGAAGCGUAAUCCUCUAGGUGAUCUCACCUCCCUAUGCAAGAUGAGAACCAUCAACGAAUACAUGGAGCGCUUCCUAGUGCACGUGGCUUAGGCUGGUAACCUUGACAAACGCUAGCAAGUCGACAUCUACAUCGCUGGCCUCCUAGAACCACUAAAUACGGAUGUCGAGCUGCUCAACCCGCAGGACAUGAAGACGGCCAUGUCUCUAUCACAGCCAUAUAAGUGGCAUUUAGCGGUCGUCAAUGAAGCCAACAAGGCAUUGGUUUUUAAGCUAGGGUGACUUCCUCCACCGAAGGUGACUACAACCAUGAUAACAACGACCACACCUACGACAACUAUGAUGGGUGCCACGUCACCAACACCCCACCCCUUCAAGCAUCUUACCGAUAAAGAGAUGGCGGUACAAUGUAGCGUUGGUCUCUGCUUUAGCUGUGAUGAGUUAUUGUCAUGUGGCCACAAGUGCAAAUUGUUGUUCGACAACACCAUUGUUAACAACUAUGACCUGGAGGAGGCUGAUGAUAGCCUCAUGAUGAUGAUCAGCAGGCUCCACAUAGAAGUCCAAGGCGCCUCCCUCAUGUACAUCGAGUGGAUGAUGAAUUACACAGGCGGUCUUAGUGGAUUUGGGAUUGACACAUAACGUCAUCAACAUCAACAUCGCCCGCUCCUUUGGUCUCUAGGAUCAGUGCAUCAACAUAACCAUACUCGUUGGCAACAACAAUGAGGUGCCAUGCCAUGGAGCAUCCUUCCAAGUACCACUAUGCAUCGGUAGCGACUCCUUUGACAUCGACACCUUCCUCUUCGACAUUAGCAACAUCAUCCAUGUCAUUCUCGGCAUGCCUUGGCUAGCUAGCUUCGAGCGUAUUACUCGGGACUUCAUCAGCAUGGAGAUGCUCUACUUCUACAACAGGCAUCCAAACACCUUCCAUGGCUCCCUUUUUCAUUAGGCGCAAAUAAUGGUGCUUGCACUCCUGGCACCCCCACUAAAGGUAUGUGAAAGAUCAGACUUCACCACUAGAACCUCCUUGUAAUGUGAUGAACAGGUCACAAAGAGCUUGACUCCCCAAUGCCCUUGACCUCUUUGAAGACCCCAAUGGCAUCAUGCUCACGCACCUACGCUAGGCCGUCAGAGAGCAGCAUGAGCUCUAUACAAUCACUAUGGCCAUCAUGGAGGGCCAGGUUGUGAAUGCUUGGUCUUUAGACAAAGGUCUCAUCUUCUUUGAUGGGUGAUUCUACCUACCUACAACCUUGGUGUCGCUACUGAGCCUUUUAUAGGUUUGUUGACAUGGUGGUUCCGCUAGCAUGGAGCUGCUAGCAUUGGGAGCGCAUGAACCACCGACACAAAGAAGGAUAGUUAACUGGGGUACCCUCCCAUAUUAUCUUGGGUCAUCCCUAGUUACUAUGACAUCCUAUAGUGGCAAUGAUGGUGAUCUUCUUCGACACAUUGAACCUUGGACCAUCCAUGUCGACAACAUCAACAUCGGGCUUCUUCUAGGCUCCAUCGACCACCGCAUGUCACCAGGCAAAUUCAACCGAGGGGCCUUCGUCUUUGGCUCCAUGUUGGACCUCAUGACAUCACCACCAACAUGCUCAACAAUGACAAUUUGGUGCCAAGUACAACUCUCCUCUAGCAUCGACAUCAACAACCACAUCCAUGGUUUCAUCACCCCUCCACGAGUGAUGCUUUUCUUCAGCUUCCAGGCCUCGGUACAAUGUCCUCUUCUUGUUGUAGCAAGGGCAGGCACAUAAAUGGGAUCUUCAGGCAACAUCUUCUACUAUCUCUUUGGCUACAUCGGCAACCUCUAGUACUGCUUUGAGUUUGCACCAGUAUGGGCAUGCGAGAACAUUAUUCUCACUAAUCCCCUUAGUGGCCACGUUAUGUGCUACUUGGAGGAGGUCCAGCACGAGGAGAUCUGCCACCAAAAGGAGUCAACGAAUGGGUCACAUGUCAGCACGAGGAGGCGUUGAGCGGAGGAGAGAGUACUGUCGAAUGCCCAACAUAGGCCAUACUUGUUGGCGGAGAAAAUGGGCCAACCAGGGCCCUAGCGGGGGGCACCAUUGCUGCCACAGCUAGGCUGCCCUAGGAGGGGCGCACGCCCAAGAGCGGAAGAGGCACCAUGCCCGCCACCACUAUCGUCUCCAUAAUUGCUACCUAUGGUUACCAUAGAUAGUUGUAGUUGGUUUUAUAAAGAGUUUGUGAAGAUAGAAAGUUGAGAGUUUAUUAGAUGUAAAGGAGAAUCCAUGUUCAAUCAGGAUCUUGUAGUUUUCUUGCAAAUCAAGUCCUCUAGGGACUAUAACUACUUAGGGAUAUGUAACGAGAUCAAUCAAGUAAUGGAUGAGCGAAAGCUCUUUCCCUAUCUCUCUUCUCUCUCUCUUGUGCGCCGCCCCCCUAGCUACUGUCCUAGCUCUCCAUGCCACCGCCCCUGCUUACACUGUUGUUGACCGCCCCGAUCACAACUAUUACAUGUAUAGUCUAUUUGUAUAUAUGAAAAAAAUAAUGAAGAACAUUUUUGAUCAUUAAACUAUGAGUUUUUAUUCUAGUCAUGAAACUCCUUUGGCCAUCCAACUAUCAGAACCGUGCAUGCGACAUCUCUCUCUCCAUGCGCAAUCUCUCUUAGCGCCAAUCACUCACAUUUUAAAUUUUAUUAGAGUGUAUAGCCAAUCUGACCCAGCUCGAGUAGGUGCCCCCUUAGGCCUAGGUCCACAAGAGCCCCCAACAAAUCAAUGCAUCGGGCCUAACUCAACACAAAAAAACUAGUCAGAUAUGUGAUGGUUUUCCCUCACUUAUAUGUUGUACUCUCCCAGCAUCAAUUUCCCUAGCAAUGCCCCAGAUCACACAUCAGACUCAACUCUUCGAAUCACACAAUUCUUAUGUAACCUCUAGAAGAUGUUAUCAAGGCCCCGAGUCCAACGCUCCAUGUCACAUACAACCCGAGUCCAAAUCCUUCAUGUCACACACAAUCCAUGUGAUCUUCAAGAUGUUAACGGGCUUCCUCACCACCACAUGGCCCCUAAGAUUUGUAGUUAGAGCACUUGGGCAACAUCUAGCAAACCUACGUUCGACUCUAUGUGGGAACGAAUUUAAACAGGUCUAGAAUAAAAAAACAUAAAAAAUAGGUUGGGGUUUUCCUGUAGACUUUGGUAAAGAAAAGAUUUUUCAAGCCUUUCGACCAUGGACUCUAACAUCAAUUCUUAGAGUGCAUAACAGAUCUAUUCCAGUUCUCACCUAUACCCACAAGUCAGUGCCCCUCUACGCCAGGUCCACUAAUAAAUCAAAGAAAUAAAGCUAACUCAACCUAAACGACUAGUCUAUAGAUUGGGAGAACCAUAAAAAAUGGCUAACAUAGAUGGGUGCGUCCCAUGCCUAUGUUAAUAAAUUAAAAAUAAUAGAGAUAGCCUGUCGACGGGGCCUGCUAAGUCAAUCCACAAGGCUCGCCAAGCACAUUGACUUGGUGCCCCUGCCCAAACACCUAUCUCACCAUUGCCUGAUAGAGCCUGAGGCCUAGAUCUUCCUCCUCUAGCUUGUUCCCAUCUACAUCGCCACUGAGAGCAGCCCCACGCACGCCAAGGGGAGAAGCGCGGCCUGCCCCUGUGCUGCUGGUCAGAGUUGCCCACAAAGUGCACAUCACUGAGCGUGCAUGUAAUUAAUGCCACCAUGGCCGACCUCGCUCCCUCUCUGUGAGUGCACUCCAUGUGCAUUGAGUACCAUCACGUGACCUUAUCAGCAUGUCUCUAGCACUAUUUCUUCCCUCCAUGAUGAGCUCAAGUGCAAGGCCACGACCCUCCCAAACUACUCCACGAUGAGCUCAAGUGCAAGGCCAGGCCCUCCCCAACUACUUAUUUGAGCCAAGGCAUUGCUGGAGCCGGGUUGCCCUCACAAGCUAUUCACAUCCCCAGUGGCGCACCACACUACCACUUGGGUUUUCCAUGGGUGACAACUUUCACUACUUAUCCAUUGAAUCUGAGCCUGUUGUGAGCUUACAAACACCUUGGAUAUCAUCCUCCACCCCUCUUUUGAGCUUGGCCAUGCCAAAUUUGGCCUAUAUGCCCAAUCAUGGCAAUCCUAGGAUCAGCGUUUGGCCACCGUGUGGGAGGGAAGUGCAAGGGAGCACGAGUGCACACUAGCUGCAGUGGCCUCCGCAGCUGGAGCCAAGUUCAUGGUGGGUGAUGGUGAUGGUGUGCACCAUGUCCAAGCAUGUAGCUAGCACUCUAGUGAGCAUUGUGGCCGGGUUAAACCAGUGAUGCAAUGGAAAUUAUAGGAGAGAACAGUUGGGAGAGAGGGAGAGGACUGCAGUUUAAGAGGAUGUUGUGGGGAAGAGAAAGAAGAGGGAACAUGAAAUAUGACAUGUGGGCCCAGCUAACAUGUGUGGUUCACUAAGCGAAAAUAGCUAGAUCUCUAGUUGUUAACAAUUUUGAUAGUGGAACUGUAAAAAACUUCUGGGUUUGAAGUUUCAUGGCACAAAUCAAUAUCUUAAUGAUAAAAAAAAAGGAUUUUCCCGAAAUCAGUGCUAUUUCAAACCAAGAAAACUGGAGGACAUUUUUGUUACCUUUUCACUCAAGAGGCAAAGUGCAUCAUCUGGCUGAAGAACUUGAAGGUUGCACACAACUCCAUGUUUUCCUGAGCAGUGGUAGGCAAUAUUCUCCUCCCUCGUAGUGAUAAUGAUUCGGCUCGUAUUUUCCAAUAGAGGUAAUAACUUUGGUUUUAUCAAGUCCCAUUCAGAGGUCUCAAAGAAAUCAUCUAGAACAAUCAAAGAACUUUUCUUCUCUAAUAGUCUUUUCAACUCCUUAGUCAAGUUGUCGACGUCCAUCAAUGCUAAUGAUUUCUUAUUGUUGUUUCCAUUUUCUAAUAGUUCUUGAUUCUUAGAAGAUCCUUCAUGUAGUUGUCUGGCCAAGCUCCUAAGGAACUCUUCAAGAUUGAAAGGACGCAUAAUUGUGAUGAAAACGUACUUCUCAAAUAUGUCACUCAACUUUGGGCUUUGAUAAACACCACCAACUAGGGUGGUUUUCCCAAGGCCACCCAUUCCCCACACAAAGAUCACCUGAAAUUGUUGGAUAUUAUCACUAUUUGAAACUAAGUCUAUAAUUUUAGAUAUUUCUCUGUUUCGCCCGAUAAGUUGCAAUUCCUCCAAACCACUCACACGCGUCCUAGUGCGACUAAGACUCUUUUUAGCCACCUUCUUCUCAUCAGCAUCCAUAGAUUGAUCAUCUGUAAUCUCACCAUGAGGUGCUAUUUGAUUGUCGGUACUUGUGGUUGCCACAUCCAAGAUAGACACUGGCUUCACCAAAUCCUCUCCAUUUUGGGAACCCUAAAUAAAAGAGAGAAAUAUUAAGGAACAACUUUUAGGCUUAAAUUUUCAUGAACAAUGUUUAGUUUGUUUUCAGUCAUGAAAGCAUAUCAUUAGUUUGUACCCUACUCCAAACCUUAGCUUGAGAUCCAAAUUUUCAUGACUUAUAUUAGAAUUCUCAAUAAGACACAUAUUAUAUGAAAUUUAAAGAAAUAAAUUUAAUCCAAAUGACGAGAGGAUACAUUUGCUAUAUCAAACCAUCUUACUAUAAUCUCUAUGAGAUAGAGGAAAAUAUAUCUAACUGGAUAUGAAAUCAAAUACUCCAUAUCAAAAUUAUGUGUAAAAUAGGAGCUUCAAAUUUAAUUGUGCAAUAGACCUGUGCUCGAUUACUUACAGGUACUAUCUUGCAGGUCAAUAUGUUAACCAGUCUACUACAUCCUAUACAUUAUUUUUAAGGCAAGACAUCUAAUAUAUUUACCUGGUAUAAUUAAGAUCACUGAAUAUGAAGCAUGCCAUCAUCAAUUGUGGCGUCAAACAACGGGGUCAAUAUGUUUUUAGGUACUUGCCUUUUUUUUUGGAUUGUUGUCUUAUUUGAUGUCUAGACCAUCUCCUUUUCUAGCAUGCGCUAGCUAAAUUCUAAGAUAUAGAUGUAUUUGUUUUCAAAAAUCCAAAUACAUAUAUUUGUGGCUGUAGUAUUAACAUGUUGAGUGCAUGCAUUCUCGAAAGGCAAAUGAAAUUCGUUGAGAAAAAAAAGGCACAAAUAAAACAAAGGACUGGAAGGAGCAUUCUUUUGUUGCAUUAGAUCAUGUGUUUCUAGUGCAAUGCUACUCCAUCUCCGAUCCAAGAGUAUUUUUAAAGCUUACUCUUUAAAUCAUCAUUCGGAGAGUUAUUUGAAUAAAACUCAUUUUCUGUAUCUUUUCACUGUCUAAUGGUUUUUCUGUAUUUUGUUUGCAUUCUAAAGAGUCAUUCUUAUUUUAUAUCUUUGGCUAGUGAGAAAUAUUUCUAGACUAGAAAAUGGCUAUAUUUAAAUAACCAAUUAAAGAAGUUAUUGGAGGAUAGUUUUUCACCAAAAUUUCUAUUCCUAACCAUUAGGAAGAAUAUAGUCUCUUAGAGCAUGUCCAAGAGUUCCCAAUAAUUUCGUCCCAAAACUAUCUAUGAUGUUUUCCAACAUGCCAAGAAGUAUUAGCAUAAGAUCAUUUCCAACCGUUUCUAAUAGUUCACUCCUAAAAUAUAGAAAUAAAUUCUAUCAGGAAUCCUAUACUAUAUCUAAAUUAUGCUAACCAUCUUUAUAUAUUAUUUGUCUCUAGUGCAUUUGCAUCAUUAAACCUUUUUUUACUCUUUAUUCAGUCUCUUCAUCUCUGAAUAAAUAUGGUGUUUUUUAAGAAGCAAUAUGGUGUUCUAUAUGCUUGGUUUUUGAUAAAUAAAUAAAUAAACACCAUAUUGCUUCUGAAAAAAAACUACAGUUUGCUAAAAAUGAUUCUUUGGUGAAUGUGCAACCAUUGCAAGUGCUAAAGUUCCUUUACCCCACAGUAACCCUUAUGCUCACUCUCUUAGGCUCAACUCGUCAUCAUUUCAAACUAAAUGACACGUUCAAAAUUAUAAAUAAAUAAAUAAAUAAAUAAACACCAUAUUGCUUCUUAAAAAACAGUUUGCUAAAAAUGAUUAUUUGGUUUUGAAACUUGGUCCUUGCGCAAAUUGUAGCUCAAACAGAUGGGUGUAUCAUGCUAUAUAUCUCCCUCAUUCCUCCAAAAGUGUGAUGUUACUCCUCUGUCUCAAAAUAUAAAGCAUCACUACCGGAGAGCCGGUCUUUGCCGUGUGUCCCUCCGUUUGCCGUGAGCAACACCAGACACACGGUAUAUCUAUCAUUUGCCGUGUGUUGCACAUGGCAAACACCAGGCACACGGCGAACUCAACUUUUGCCGUGAGCAACACACGGCAAAAACAUGGCACACGGCAAAAGCUAACCCACGCUAACGUCCACCUCCAACGGUCAACGUUUGCCGUGUGCGGCCAUUAGGCACACGGCAAAGCCUGGGUUUGCCGUGUGCCAGGGGUGCGACACACGGCAAAUAAUUUAUCUUUUUUUCAGUUUUUGUCCUCAAAAUUUUUCCUUCUCUACACAUUCACCAUUUGUAACUCCAUACUCAAAUUUCAUAAAAUUUAAAACAUGUUUGCUAUAUUUUUGCAAUUAACAUUAUUUAUUUUCAUUUUUCUGGUUGCGUUCAAAUUUGAACUACGAGUCAAUAAAAUAGUUGUAAAAAAUAUCAAAAAAAUAAUAUUCAUGUUACCCAAUCCUGUUUGAGAACACACAUUCGAAAUGAAAAUGACUUUUGAAUGCCGUGGUUAGGAGACACGACGCGGAACGUGCGUCAGUACAUUUCAAAAAUUCUAAUAAAUGCUAUUUUAUUCCGUAAAUCCCGAAACUUGUAGAUAUGUCAUGUUAUCAUACAUAGAGGCCAUAAAAAAAGUUUGGAAAGAUUUCGAACAAGUUGUCAUGUAUGAUGUAUAGAAACCACACAGUCUUGUAAGAAGUUGCACAGAGAUAAGAGUGAAGAAGAAUGAGUUGGAGUAGAUUUGACUUUUAUAUUUGAGUUUGAUUUUAAAACUUUUUCUAUAGGCACUACACCAUAUAGGUUGUGUCGUGUCCAAGUUUAGGAAUUUUUCGGAAUUGUUUACUAUUUCUUAAUUAUUUUCAGCAUUUUAAUUGAAAAUUUUAAAAUUUCAAUUUUUUAAAUAACCUCGGAUGGAAAAACUCUCUAAAUAAACUUUAUAGAUCUCAAAAAGUUAUGAAACUCUUUAGUUGACAACUUUUUAUUUUGGAAUCAUCUUGUCAUGCAAAAACUACGUUUGAAUUUCUCAAAUUUAAAAUUCAAAUUUUGUAAACGACCUCGGAUGAAGAAACUCCCUAAAUGAAAAUUGUAGAUCCCAAAAAUUUAUAAAACUUUGUAGUUUACAACUUUUUGAUUUGAAAUCAUUUAGAACCUCAAAUUAUCAAUUUACACAUAAUUUGAUAUAAUAUUUGAGCAACUGAAAUGCAAUAUAAUGACAAGUCAUAGUGUGGUGCAGUGGCUAAGAGCUAAGUAACACGAGGGAGAGGUCAUGGGUUCGAAUCCCAUGGGCCGCAAAAAAAUUCAGGACUUUUGAUAUUUUUCGUUGGGGUUUGUCGUGUGCCCAACCCUGACACACGGCAAAUAUUGAGGCCGUCUUCCGCCGUUCGUUAUAUUUUCUUUAUCGUGUGUCAAGAUUGACUCACGGCAAAGUUUCGCCGUGUGCCCAUAAUUUGGUCGUGAGUAAAAAUAGGGUUCACCGUGAAAAAGUUUGUCGUGUGUUCUUUGCCGUGAGCAACACACGGCAAAGCCUUCGCCGUGUGUAAUUUGGACUUUGCCGUGUGCACCAGGCACACGGCAAACCCCUGCUGUCCGGUAGUGCAUGCAUGUAUUUCAAAAAUCAAAUUUUGUUAUCUUUAACCAACUAGUUGUUUAAUCAUACAAAAAGUUGAUAGUACAAAAGCGGUAUCAUUAGGUUUGUGUUUAUAAAUACUUUCUAAUAAUAAUGCUUUUGUUGUCAUAAUUACAUACUAUAAGAGAAAUUAACCGAUUUUUUCUUGAAUAUGUAAGAACAUUGCGUAUCAUUGUACUAAGAAGAUAGAAGUUUUAAAAUCAAGAGAGAUCAUUCCCAGCUAGUAGUUUCCUAGCUGAUUUGGGCCUCUAAAUUUGUGACCACCUGAGCCGGGUUUAAUGUUGUCAUCAUCCUCUCAAAUUCAUUGAAUCUCUCCGCCAGCGGGGAUGCCUCCUCCCCGUCGGCUCCUACCUAGCGCUCAACGACGCUUGUCAUAAAAAAAAUCCUUUGUUGGGUGAAACAAUCACACAAACAUUUGAAUAUAGGUGUAAAAUUGUAUUCAUUUUACGGUUUUACUGUACAUGUCAAAGAGGUAUUUAAAGAGGUCAUAGCCCUCAUAAGUCGUAUACAAAUGACCAUUUUACCCCUCUUUAUAAUCAAUACAACCCCUUUAAAUUACAGGGGUGUAGGUGUCCUUUCAUCUUCCAGAGUUCAUUCUUCAUUAUCUUUUGUCAAUCUUAGAAGUCACUUUCUUCAAAGGUGUCUUCGCGCACCUGAACUUGAAUGUUUUAUCAUGAAUCUUCUAGACUUAAGUCGAGCGAACUCUUCGAUCAUUCUUCACAUUACCUAGGCAAACGUGUUUGCUUCAAGCAAAGUCCAUGGUCUUUUUACUUGUUCUGAGCGAAGUCAUUUUUUCCUCAUUUGCUUUAAGGUUCUGAAAGCAAACUUUUGUACAGAGGUUAGAUGUUCAACUCCAAAGUUUUAGGGCUGCAUUUUUUAUCGAAGUCAAAUCUCAACAUCGUCUGCCCCUCCUCUCUCUUUACCAGACUUGAGAAAUUAAUAUUUUAAUAGAUACAAUGUCUUCUGGUAAAUGACCAUGAUUUUGUAAUGGUGCCUAGCACAUAUUAGUGUGUUAUUGACUUAUUGGUGUGAAAUGGUCAAUUUCAUUGAAGUUGGAUGUCCAUAGCGAUUUGCCAAACAAAAAAUAAUAUUUGGUUUUGAAUUGUUCUUGACUAUCUCUUUCCUCAUGUCUAAUAGCUUUAGCUACGCAUCUAGAUAUAUAUUAUAUCGAUAUAUAAUAAAAUUUAUGUAUCUAUAAAAGCCUAACAAUUUUGAAUUUGGAACGGAGUGAGUAAUAGGUAGAUAGAGAAAAGAAGAGAUAGAAAGUAUUAGAGAUAGAGACUAGCAUGUCUUGACGGCUUUGUGAGGAAUCGACUGAUUUUAGAACUCUGGUAUGGCACUGAUAGACAAUCCGGCAUAUUUUCAGUUGAUUUAUGUUGUAGUAUAUGUUAAUGCCGACAAGUACAUUUAAGGCCAGUCUCAAUACAUGUUUCAUGAAAGUGUCAUGCAUAUUAAAUAGGGUGCCACAUAAGUAUAAUUGCUGACUUGGUAGGGCCAUUAAAUGAAGGAGUUUCGUCAUCAUAUGAGAGAGGAGUUUCAUCCCCAUGAAACUCUUGUGGCUCGGUUACCUAGCUUAUAGUCUUAGUAACUGUGUCAUAAAACUAUGCACUGAGACUAGUCUAAGAGGAAAACUAAGCCGCAGCUUUGUAAGCUUAAACGCAUUUUUUAUAAGUUUCAUAAAACAAGGCAUUAUAUGUACCUUAUGCCUUCGAUCGAAACAUUAUUUUAAUUUCAAUUUUAAAAAUAUCUUCCCCAAUACAAAGUUGGAACUACAACAAGGUCUUGUUUAGUUCCUGCAAAAGGGUUUUUUAGUACUAUAACAUAUUUCUAAUUAUAGCAAUUAGUAUUCAAUCAUUAAUUAUCACAAUAUAUAUAAAUUAUAUAAUAAAUUAUUUUUUAUCUAUAUUUAAUACUCCAUAGAUAUAUCCAAACAUGGGUGAAAAACAAGGCCUUAGUUUUAUUCUUUAUAUGAGCUCUUCCUAAGCCCAGGGAAAGGGACACACAAACAACAAACCGAUCCGCUUUAUCUGAGGCUGAGCCCAGGGACCGAAGUUCAACUCUACUCAGAGGCCAGGGACCAAGGUUUAAUUAUUUGAAAUUGACAGGGGCCGCACGAGUGCAAAAACCAAUCCGCCUUAUCUGAUCUCAGGGACAGUUCAUCCAAAAUAAAAUACAUCUGAGCCCAGGGACCAAACUUUAAUUAUAUUUCUCAGAGCUAGGGAUCAAAAGUUUAAUUCUUUAAAAUUGGCAGGGGCCGCGCGAACGCGUACCCCCUCUACCACAAAUUAUGACGUCCACUCUCCCUCUUGGGGAGAUGGUAAGCUAGCGCACCCGCCAAGUGCAAUGCGGGCCACUGACCUAGGCCACGGGCCUUCAUGACCAACCGUCGACCCCGUCCAGGUAAGUAUGGAGCAACGGUGCAGGGGGCGCUUGUCUUAUAGCGGGAGCUCGCAGCGCAUCCAGCUUCCGCUGCCGAGGUGGUGCUAAACGAAGCGUUCUGCCGUGUUCUGCCGCUGAGUUUUUAACUUAUGGUGGGCUGCCCGAGACAUAGAGACGUAUAUGGGCCUUUAGGAUUUGGCCCACUAGGAACAGUAAGACUGCAGGCUGCAAUGAAUCUGCUAGGCUCCCUAGUUGUUCCUAAAAAAAAAGGGUAUGGGAAUAGUUUUCUAGGAUUAUUAUAAUUUAUAAGCUCUGUUGUUUUUUCUAAUCUGCAGCUACAUGCUCUCGUGGUAUAAAUGAGAGAAUUUUUUUGGAAAAAAAAGGCAAGAAAACUUACACAUGCUGCUACUCUGCUUUGAGACUGGGCAAGAGAAUGGCUUAAACCACAACCUGAACCUGAAGCGAACAAGUCCAAGAUUAUUUCUUAAUAAUAGGUUUAUGACUAUGCGUUGCAACAUUAGAAAAAAAAAAGUAAAAAAAAAUUUUUUGACCACAAUGAGGAGGGGCACAAAAACACAUGUAGUUGGGAUAAUUCCUGAUUUGUUAGGGCACUCCCAAUGCAGACUCUAUCAUAGUUUCUAUAGUUAUUUAUUAUCUCUCUAUUUAUUGACUUUUGCUGAUGUGACAUUGUAUUUAUUGAACAAAGAGAGGAGAAAUACAAGAAACCGAGUCUCUUGGUGUCCGCGCGUGGCCCGUGUAGCCGCCGGGCAUGUGUGACUGCGCCGAGCCGCACAGCAUCAGCCUCGCGCAAGUCCACGAUGCGCUCGCCGCCCCUGCAGUACACGGUUAUUUACUGAGUUUUAUUAUUCCUCUGUCCGUGAUGAUCGCAAUCGAAUCCGGCUCGUGAACCGUACGUGUUUCAGUCAACGUGCCAUCCGGAUUUAUACCCCUCCCUCCCUCCCUCCCGUCGCCGCUCCUUUCUUCUUUGUUUUCAAAAUACCUCGCCACAUCCGUCUCCAUCGUGCAGAAAUCUCACCAGCACCGUACCUCUCACCGUCGCCGCGACACCAUCUAGCUAGCUAGCUCGCCCGCACCUCACCGACGCCGCGGCUCAUCCAAUCACCUCACCGCAGCAUUCUGUACGUGCGGAUGUGGCAGCUCCAAUUAAUCACCUAGCUUCUUAGCUCUGGAGUCUGGACGGUGGCGGCUGCGGCGUACCAUCUGCAAUGACCGCGACGUCCGUUUCUCACCAGCGACCUCGGCUACAACCUGCAACGGCGCCCGACGGCUGCGGCUCAUCCCACCCCGUUGCCACCGGUGAGUGUGGCAUGUGUGCUUGCAGCCCUGUUCACCGUCGCUGAGUGUGGCAUCUGCUGCAGGCGGCGAUCGACGACCUUCUGACGCUCCUCUUUGUGGUGGUUUCAGCAAUGAUGACGCGCCGGUGGUGUGGAUAUAUAUGGCGAUGCCUCCCUUCUACACCCUCCGGCCAGCCAUGGGUGAAUCCCAUGUUAUUCUUUUUCGGUUUUCAACUUUCUUUAUGGCCUUCGUUGCAGUUUGAAAGGAUUCCUUGUGGCGUCAAUAAUGAUCUGGACAUCCCGUGCCUGGUGGCACGGAUCCGAUCGACGGCGGUUCAAGCAGAUCGACGACGAUUCUUUUUUUUUUUUUUGUGAAUGAUGAUUAAUUCAUUCUAAAUAGGUUUAAGGUUGCAGGAGUUGAUUUUCUACACCAUGUAAUUCUUAUAAUACAGAUACAAGUUUCCGCUAUUUUUAUUGGCCAUUCCUGUUCUUGUACACGAGCAAUACUGGUUAAUUCAUGUCAUUGUGUUAUAAAGGUUACCAAUUCAUAAUUACUAUUAUUCACUAUGAAUAAAAAACUUAUUCAUGUUAGAAAAAAACUUAUUCCUGUUAAAAAGUAGUCUAACCAGAAACCGGACACCUUUUACUUCUCAUAUCCAAAUUUACCACUCACAUAUCAGUACGGAGAAACUCCAGCCCAAGUCUUUUAUUUACAAGCUAUGAUAAAAAAAAGUAGGGGCUCAAAUUAAGACCCAACUCCAAUGAAAAAAACAGACCAAGUCCUUAUCUCACAUAUUUUUGUUUUAAUUUAUGGGUGGGGAGAGAAAAGUGGGUAGGAUCCAUUGGAUAGGAGGGUUCUAGAUGGGAGGGGCUGAAACUAUAAUUUGGAAGGGCAUGGAAAAUGGGAGCCCAAGUAGAAGGUGGGUUGGAGUUAAUUUUUUUGAUCAAGUCCUUAGAUUUAGAAUAGAGACUUGUUUAGGAGGUGGGCUGGAGUUGCUCAACAAUGAUACAAUUAGUAACAAAAGUCUAUCCGGAGACUGGAUGCCUCAUUGAUUAGUACAGACAAAUUUACCGCACAUAGCCAACCUUUUGUUACUAAAAAUUGUCAUUGUAAAUUCUAAAAUAUAUCUUAUUCAACAUGAAGUUGGCUGUAAUAUUUACGAAUCCAGAGAUAAUUUUACUCCUAAGCGCCUGGACGAAAUUAUUUAUAAGCUCAAAAGAUAAUAUCAGUAAUAAAAAAUACUCUGACUGUAGAACGACUAUGACAACCAAUUUAAUUGCCUACUGCUAAGGCUGAAAAAAUUUAUAGACCAAAAUAAAAAUCUUAGUAAUAAAAACAGGCUGACCACGUUGGUGAUUAUUACAAGAAAUUUUACUAGACACGCCCAAACAGAAUUAUUUACAAGCAUAACUAUUAAUAAUAAAAAUUCUCCCAUCCAGCCCGCUAGAUUAGCGCAACUAAAUUUACUGCUCACAAAUCCCAACAAAAUUAUUAAUGGGCCAAACGAUAAUAUUAGUAAUAAAAUAAUACUAGUAAUAAAAAAAUACUUCGCUGAUUACCACAUACAAAUUUACUGCUCAUAGGUUUGGAUGGAAUUCUAUACUCAAUGAAAUAAUAUUAUUAGUAAUAAAAUUUGUCUAAUUGGAGACCAGAGAUGUGGGUGAUUAACAUAGGUAAAUUUAUCGUUCAAAAACCAGAAUACAAUUAUUUACUUAAUAAAAUAAUACUAUCAGUAUUAAAAAAAAGUCUUGCUAGAGACCGAACACGCUGGUGCUUAUAGCACUGAGAAAUUUAUUGCUCACAUACCAGGAUAGAAUUAUUUAUGUAACAAAAUAAUACUAUUAUUAGUAGAAAAAGUCUCACCAGAGACUAAACACCCUGUUGAUUAGCAUAGAGAAAUUUACUGCCCAUAGGCCAGGAUGGAAACAUUUAAUGUAAGCAAUAAUACUAUAGUAACAAAAGUAGUCUAAUUGAAGACUGAACACCGGUUGCUUAUCGUACCCAAAUUUACCACUCACAUGUCAGUAUGGAAUUAUUUUUUAACAAAAUGAUACAAUUUAUAAUAAAAAGUCUAUCCAAAGACCGGAUGCGCUAAUGCACUAAUAGAAGUUGGUGAUGUUCAAUGGUAGGAGCGUAUUAUCCGCAACGAUUCACCCAAAACGACUGCGAAGGUUUGAGGAAACUAAGCAAAAGGGUUGUAUUGAGGGGGGCCUCGUCGGGUCCGGCCGUUCGGACGGAACGCGUCGUCCGGCAGACUCCCGCGCCCCAAUUCCCGCCUGGCGCCCACGACGAUUCCUCUUUUUCUUUUAGGAGAUCAAAUAGCACCGUGCACUAUAUAUUUAAUGAACCUUAUUAACUGUUUGUUGGUCGAAUUAUUUUGACUGUUUUUCUGAACUGUUUUUUUAGAGCGAGCUAUACAUUUUCUAAAUAACUGUUAUUGAAUAAAUUAGUUGAUAAUGGUUUUAGUGCCGAAAAUUACAUUUACCUCUGCAGCGCAGGUCGUUUUCAGACUGUUUCCAAAUUAGACCUUUAAUAAUGUACUUUUUCUAUGGCCGGUGCUGGUACGUAUUUAUUCUCACCCAUAAUAAUUAAUUUUGGCUUGUGACUUUAUCAUGCGCAGCUAGUGCGAGGAGAUAGUGGAGCAACAUAUCCAUGUUAGUUACGACGCAUGCACAUAAUGACUUUUAAUGAAAAAAGUCAUAACUCUUAAACAAAAUAUCCAAAUUAAAUUUCGAUUACACCAUUUGAUUUCUUGUAAUAAAUCCUUCAAAACAAGAUCUCACAUGGAUAUAUUUAGAUAAAAUUUUAAUAACGAAUAAUUAUCAUAUAAAGAUAGAACAUUUUUGUAUUGAGCUGAGACGAUGUUUAAGGUUUAAAAAAUAAUGUUCUAUCUUCAUAAUAAAAUAUUCUAAGAACCGUAUUGGUAUUAUAAACAUGGCGACGAUGUUCCAUCUUCAUUAAAAAAUAAUGUUCCAUCUUCAUAAGAGACGAUGUUCCAUCUUCGUUAUAGUUAGCAAAUCAAGUAUCCAAAUUAAAUUCAGAUUGCACUAUUGGAUUCCUUAUACUAAAUGCUUCAAAAUAAGAUCUCAACAUGAAUAUAUUCAGAUAAAGUUUUAUUAACGAAUAUGUAUUUUAUAAAGAUAGAAUAUUUUCUUUUAUUAUUGAAUAAAGGUGGUGUUCUAGAUUCAUAAAACAAUAUUCCGCCUUCACAGAAAAAUGUUUUAAAUUUAGAAAAAACAAUAUUCCAUAUGAAAACACACUUAAAUGAUUGGUAUUAUAAUACCGAUAAAUAAAUAAAAUAAAAAUAUAGAAUUAUAUAAUAAAUAACAUUACACAAGUAGAACAUCAUGUGUAUAAUAUAACAAAUGAAACAUGGGAAAAUACUACAUAACAUGUUGUAUAAAUACUACAUAACAUGUUGUAUGAAUACUACAUAAUAUGUUGUGAAAAUACUUAAAGAUAAUCAUAAAGUAUCUCAUUCAUCAUGUGUAUACCAUAUACAAUGGAAUAUGGAAAAAAUAAAAGGCAAACAUCACAUGUAUGUUAAGUGAACAUAACUAAAUACAUUACGGAACAUCACUAAAUAUAUUAUAGAACAUCACAAAUACAUUACAUGAACAUCACUCAGUACAUCAUAGAACACCACAUGUAUACUAAGUGAACAUCACUAAAUACACCAUAGAACAUUACUAAAUACAUUAUAGAACAUCAUAUAUAUAUUACCUGAACAUCACUAAAUAUAUCAAAAAAACAUCACAUGUAUACUAAAUGAACGUCACUAAAUUCACUAUCGAACAUUAACAUGAACAUCACUAAAUACAUCAUAGAGCAUCACUAAAUACAAUAUAGAACACCAUUAAAUACACUAUAGAACAUCACAUAUAUAUUACGUGAAUAUCACUAUGUACAUCAUCAUAUAUACUAAGUGAACAUCACUAAAUGAACCAUCGAACAUCACCAAAUGCAAUAUAGAACAUCGCCAAAUACAAUAUAGAAUGUUGCAUUAUCAGAUAUAUAUUACACGAACAUCACAAAAAAAAUCGUAGAACAUCACAAAAAUACCACAUGAACAUCAAAAAAAUAUCAUAGAACAUUACAUGUAUAACACAUGAACAUCAUAGAAAACCAUAGAACAUUACAUAUACUACAUAAACAUCAUAAAAAAACAUCAAAAAACAUGGCAUUGUAUACCACAUAAACGUUGCAAAAAACACCAUUUUACAUCACAUCUCAUGAAAUAUAGAAAAGAAAAAAGUAAAUAUAAAAAAUAAUUAAGUAAGAUAAAGUAGAAAAAUAAAAAAUCUAUAAAAAACAUAAAGACAAAAAAGAAAUAAAAAAGAAUAAAUAAAACUAAUUAAUGAUAGUAAAUAAAAAAUAAAAUAAAAAUAAUAUGGAAAAUUGAAUGAAACAGAAACAAAAAAUAAUAUCACUCGCUUCCUAUGAUAUUAGUCCACUAAAAAAAAUUAAACAACCACCAUAGGAUCAAUAUCAAGACGUUUGUAGCGUUUCAAUCACAUGCAUGCAUGUAUUCCACAAAAAUAAUCUAAUAAACACCUUUGUAACCAGCACUAAAUUAAUGUGUUGCCAAAAGAAACAAAAAAAUAAAAAGAUGAAUGAAAUAAAAAAUAAAAAAAAAGAAAGGGAAAAAUGAAGCGCAAAAAGGAAUAAAAAAUAAAGAGGAAAAAAUAAAAAAAAGAUAAAAAUAUAAAAUAACAUAAAAGAAAAAUAAAAAUAAAUUGAAUCUAUAAACAUGAAUUAGGGAAAAAGAAAAAGAAAAAAAACAAAAUAAAGAAAAGAAAAAAUCCCAAGAAAAAACAAAUAGGAACAACAACGGGCAGGAAGUAUAAAUGAAAAGAUAAAGAAAAAUAAAAUAAAAUAAGAAAAAAGAAAAAGAAAUAAAUAAAUAAAAAGAAAAAGAAAAAGAAAAAAAAAAGAGAAGAAAACUAACGGGGAGGGAAAAAUAAAUGAAACAUAAAAGGAAAGAAAAGAAGAAGAAAAGAAAAGGAAAGAAAAAACAAAAAAGGAAAAGAAAUUAAAAAAAAACAUACGUACCUGGCAGCCCCGUGCGCGCAGGAAUGAUUGAGCGGGAACCGUCGGACGACGUCUCCGGUCCGAACAUUCGGACCGGAAGAUUUCCGUGUAUUGAGGUGGGUGGGGGCAUGAAGUGUUUAGCGGCAUCCCAACUAUGUAAAAAAAGUGCAUUAUUACGACUGCAAUGGUAGGAGCGUCAUAUAUGCUGUUUUUAUUACUAAAGUUCCUUUAGACAAAGUUUCCCCAAAACUCGGACUCAGUUUCAAAACUAAUCGCCUUAUGCUUAGUUUCGGAUCAUCUUUCUUUAGCAAAAGGGUGGUGCUACGUGGCACUGCUGUCAGCACCCUUUAGUCCUGGCUCGUAAUACCAUCCGGGACUAAAAGGGGGGUCUUUAGUCCCAGAAGCGUAGUCUCGGCUCGGGAUCCGGGGCAAAAGCCCCUUCUCGGCCAGUACUAAAGAGCGAUCGUGUAGGAGUGAAUGGCUGGUAGUUCUAGACAUUAUUGUCGAUGGGAAAACCACCAUGUGCGGAUUGUGUGGCUGGCACUAGCACGAGUGCUGUUUCUAGUGUUACGACACUAAUUAAGUUGCUGCCUAUUGGUUCCUGGUGUGAAACUUUAUAGGGCGAUGUGUUAACUAGAACUGCUUUGUCAGCUCGUUACUUAGUUUUGAGCCUGUUGGUAUGUGUCUUUGCAUGCCCUGCCACGAUUUGGGGUCUUGUCAGCUCAUUUGCAUGGUUAGUUUUAUCCUUGAAGCCCCUAUCUGAUUUAAUGCAUGCUACAGCCAUAUCUGUGUUAAACUGUAUGUAAAGGCCAACGUUAAAUGACUGUCCUGGAAUGUUCAGUUCUUUUGGGGGAUAACAAUGGUACAUAUAUUCAUGUGGUUAAACCUCUGGUACUCCACCACUUCGGCUACUGAGUUCCACCACUUUGGGGGAGUUGUCGUCAGGACAUCGAUUCUACCACAGUCUUAAUCUGUACCCUAUUAGGCCCCCUAGCAAUCGAACACGAAAGCCAGCAGAUUGUAGCACAGCACCCUCCCUAAGCGCCUCUACACCAUUGGCGCUGGUCUCCUGGAUGGCUCUCACCAAAGCAACUUGCUAUCCCUCAAGCCGGGUGCCUUCAAAUUCUGACUAAUACUAGUAGCUAGUAGACUACUAGCUAGUUGCUGUGAUAUCAACAGCACAAUUUGUAGGAGACAGAUGCAUGAGGAUGUGAAUUAAAACACACAGCACGUUUGAUCGAACAUUUUGCUAUCCGAAGAAACCAGUGAUACUGUUGUCUUAUUUAGGAAGAAGAAGCGCAAACUACUAUUUCUGAUGUCACUGGAUCAUUAUCAGUUUCUACACUGCUUGUUCGUUGGAAUAUUGAUCAUUCUCUUUCCCAGUGCUCUCUUUCAUGCUUGACAUCCAUUCCUGCAACUGCAAGUACCAAUGUAUAGGCCGAGUCCAGUCUGAUGUUCCACAUAUCUAUCUAUUGGCAAACAAACCAUGGCUUGCACUCUUUGCUUCCCACUUCAAUAAAGCGCAUGCAUCUUGAAUGGUGACAAAAAAACAUCCAUUGCAGCAUAAAUGCCACGAUCGCAAGGAAUUUUUCUACAGCUAGUACUAUUAUACAAGAAAAACUAAAGAGCAGAUACUACAGCAGGAUUAAUAGAGUUCUCAACUAACACCACUUCUUUUGACUCUAAGCCACUAAUAGAAAACCGGUAGUAAGAAAGAAGAAGGGGGCCCCAUUAAAUACUAAACAAACUAAUAAAAGGUUACAAAUGGCAAGCCAAAGAACAACAAAACAAACAACUUUAGUACUUAAAUGAAGACAC
rnacentral:lncRNA from 1 species